UACGUAGGUGGCAAGCGUUAUCCGGAAUUAUUGGGCGUAAAGCGCGCGCAGGCGGCUUCUUAAGUCUGAUGUGAAAGCCCACGGCUCAACCGUGGAGGGUCAUUGGAAACUGGGGAACUUGAGUGCAGAAGAGAAAAGCGGAAUUCCACGUGUAGCGGUGAAAUGCGUAGAGAUGUGGAGGAACACCAGUGGCGAAGGCGGCUUUUUGGUCUGUAACUGACGCUGAGGCGCGAAAGCGUGGGGAGCAAACAGG
rnacentral:rRNA from 1 species